rnacentral:rRNA from 1 species
GAUGAACGCUGGCGGCGUGCCUAAUACAUGCAAGUCGAGCGAACAGACGAGGAGCUUGCUCCGCUGCCGUUAGCGGCGGACGGGUGAGUCACACGUGGAUAACCUCCCUAUAAGACUGGGAUAACUUCGGGAAACCGUAACUAAUACCGGAUAAUAUAUUGAACCGCAUGGUUCAAUAGUGAAAUACGGUUUUUCUGUCACUUAUAGAUGGAUCCGCGCCGCAUUAGCUGGUUGGUAAGGUAACGGCGUACCAAGGCGACGAUGCGUAGACGACCUGAGGGGGUGAUCGGCCACCCGGGAACUGAGACACGCACCAGACUCCUACGGGAGGCAGCAGUAGGCAAUCUGACGCAAUGGGCGAAAGCCUUACGCAGCAAGGCCGCGUGAGUGAUGAAGGUCUUCGGAUCGGAAAACCCUGCUAUUAGGGAAGAACAAAUGUGUAAGGAACUAUGCACGUCGUGACGGUACCUGAUCAGAAAGCCACGGCUAACUACGUG